CCCUUAGAUGUCCUGGGCCGCACGCGUGCUACACUGAUGCAUACAGCGAGUACCCCCAGCUCCGAGAGGCUGCUGGUAAUCAGCAAUAUGCAUCGUGAUGGGGAUAGAUCUUUGGAAUUAUAGAUCUUGAACGAGGAAUUCCUAGUAAUCGCAGGUCAUCACCCUGCGUUGACUAAGUCCCUGCCCUUUGUACACACCGCCCGUCGCUCCUACCGAUUUCGAGUGAUCCGGUGAAUCAUUCGGACCGCGGCCCCUAGGCAUGCGGAAAGUCUAGUAAACCAUAUCACUUAGAGGAAGGAGAAGUCGUAACA
rnacentral:rRNA from 1 species